rnacentral:rRNA from 1 species
UACAGAGGGGGCAAGCGUUAUUCGGAAUUAUUGGGCGUAAAGGGCGCGUAGGCGGCUUGGCAAGUGGAUGGUGAAAUCCCUCGGCUUAACCGAGGAACUGCCGUCCAAACUGCUUCGCUUGAGACCGGGAGAGGUGAGUGGAAUUCCCAGUGUAGCGGUGAAAUGCGUAGAUAUUGGGAGGAACACCAGUGGCGAAGGCGGCUCACUGGCCCGAUACUGACGCUGAGGUGCGAAAGCGUGGGGAGCAAACAGG